GACAAACGCUGGCGGCGUGCUUAACACAUGCAAGUCGAACGGUGAAAGCGGAGCUUGCUCCGCUGGAUCAGUGGCGAACGGGUGAGUAACACGUGGGCAACCUGCCCCUCACUUCGGGAUAACUCCGGGAAACCGGGGCUAAUACCGGAUAUGACCUCCUUGGGCAUCCUUGGAGGUGGAAAGUUUUUCGGUGAGGGAUGGGCCCGCGGCCUAUCAGCUUGUUGGUGAGGUAGUGGCUCACCAAGGCGACGACGGGUAGCCGGCCUGAGAGGGCGACCGGCCACACUGGGACGGAGACACGGCCCAGACUCCUACGGGAGGCAGCAGUGGGGAAUAUUGCGCAAUGGGCGAAAGCCUGACGCAGCAACGCCGCGUGCGGGAUGACGGCCUUCGGGUUGUAAACCGCUUUCAGCAGGGAAGAAGCCGCAAGGUGACGGUACCUGCAGAAGAAGCACCGGCUAACUACGUGCCAGCCGCCGCAGUAA
rnacentral:rRNA from 1 species